AAUGCUUAUGAUUUCCAUUGAACUUAAUGAUCUUUGAUAUGUGUCUCUGUCAUGCGUAUUCCAUAGUUAGGGUCCUUGAUAAGAAUAAUUUGGUUGUAAUGCGUAUUCCAUUCAAUUCAAUGAAUCUAAGGAAAUCUGAGAAUUAAUUGGUGCACUCUAGUUAAUUUGGGGCAUUGUCAUUCAUGGUUUGUUGAAAGAGUAACUGGAAAUCGUAUGCAUAUGUUUCAUGUGUGGAGAAGAAGCCCUCUAACUAGCCUUUCACCAUCUUAAGUUUCAUCAAACCAUUUUUGUCAAAGUUUGUUUUCAAAGUUUCUGUUUUCAAAGUUAAAUUCGUCCAAAAUCAAUCCCCCUUUACUUGGUUGAGUCAUAGUAGUUAGAAAUCACUUUAGUUUGUGUUUUUAAGUGUCUUAGGUCAAGUUAAAACCAAUUUUCGUCCAAGUUUGUGUCUAGUGUUCAAAACUGCCCAGAUUGUGGUUUUAAGGCAGUUUUGAGUGUUUCUGGGCUGUUUUGAGUUUUUUGGUUUGUUUUGGUGUUUUAAAGUUUAGUUUUGCAUUCUUUGAGUCUAGUUUAGUGUUUUAAACUUGUUUUUACGUAUUUGAGUCAGUUUUCAAGUGAUUUUGCAAUCCCUCCUAAUCCCCGGUUUAUAACGAUCCCUAUUUACAUACUUUGCUACAAUUGAUAAAAAGAGGGUUAAUUUGAGUGUCAACAUAAUUUUCACAUCAAGUGUGCCAUUAACCAGGUAGUCUAUAAUGGAAUCUUGCUAGUUUGGAGUUGUACUAACCUAUGACACCUCGAUUGAUGGCUCCGCCUAUAUGCUUAUUUUGUUUAUAUACUUCACCAGAAUAAAGCCUUUGAGUUGGUGGUCAAUGGCAGAGCCUAGGUGCCAAAUGCGUCCAUAUGAGCGUAUUACCCAUGGAACUUGAGUGAGGGUGUAAGUUUGAAAUGCCUCAAGCAGUCUGGCUAGUAAUUACUAGGGAAUCAAAAUGAAUUGCGAGCUUUUUCACCGCCAAGUCUUUUGUCAUUCGUAGGCCUACUAGUAGGGCAUCGUACUCUGCUUCGUUGUUGGAUGCUUUGAAGCUUAGAGUGAUCGCCUACUUAGGCAUCGAACCAUCUGGGGUGACAAGGACCAUGCCUGCUCCCAAACCUUUGUAGUUGGAUGUGCCGUCGACAUGCAAAUGCCGGAAAUCUCCAUCGGGUGGAGCAGACAAGGCUAGGGCCUGCUCAACUACCUCUGGGAGGUCGUUGGUUUGCUCUGUUACGUUGCCUAGUUUAGGUAUAAAGGCGCAGCAGGGAGCCGUGGAGCCGUCAUUGAUUUACCCUGUUGCGUUAUGAAUGCAUGGUAGGGAGCUGUGGAGUUGGGGCCAUGUUACACGCAGCAGGAGAUGCUUAAUUGCUGGUAUUAGGCCACUUUAGAGUUGAAUUAUGAAGCAAGGGUCGGCUAGGGCCAUGUGUUAUGUAGUAAGAGGUGGUGUUCAACUGUUGGUACCUAUUGCUCCUAUGUAGAAUCUUUUGGGGUGAUGAGGACAAAACUUGCUUCCAAGUGUGUCAUUCUAAUGUUCAUCUGCCCUUGGCGCACCCUUUGGGCCGAGUUGUUGUGUUUCUCAGGAAACUUUGCAUCCGUCAAUAUCUACGCCUUUAUUGUCACGUGUCUAGAUUGGGGGGAAUAGUGCGUCAUGAGAAUGAUUGCGUAUGUUUGAAGGUAAAACAUGAGCUUCCGGAUUGCAACAAUUGUCACCAAAGUUUAGCUUUUGAAUUUGGAAUACAAGUAGUCGGGCCCCCAAUUCUUCUCGUAUAAUGCUAGAGCUUAUUGGUGCUUCAAAUACCAUCAAACAUGCGAAUAGGUCAUCCGCUAUUUCCGAUUUGGAUAGUAGGAAGGUGAUGUCAGGUUCUCUUUCAUGUCUUUACAUCUGGAUCAGCAAUCCUCAUCCCAAAUGCAUGCUUAUCUGUCAGAGCAAAAGAGUCUGCCAGAGUUAAAUCUUCUUUCAUGAUCAAUUUUCCGAACAGCGGGUGGUCUUCUGGAAGUACUUUUUGGAAGGCUGCUUUAGCUAUCGAGUCGUUGCCUCUGAUUAUCUUUACCUUCUCUGCUUUAAACCUCUUCACUUAGUCGUGAAACGACUCCCUUGGGUUCUUUUUUACGUUGAACAAGUGUUCGGAUUUUUUCUUGAUCGAGCGAUAGGACGAAUAUUCUUUGAUAAAAACCAAAGAAAAUUCUUCGAAACUCCGGAUGGAUUGUGGCAAUAGGAUGUAGAACCAAUCUUGCGCCUCGCCUUCUAAAGUAGUGGUGACUAUCUUGCACAUGAGAUCGUCGUUGUUUCGAUAGAGGAUCAUUGCACUUCAGUAGUGCUGUAAGUGUCUCUCCAAGUUUCCAUCCCCUUUGAAAGAUGUAAACUGUGGCAUGCUGAACUUGCAUGGAGGCUCUACCUGCUCGAUCUCAUCCGUCAAGGGUGACCUGUUUAUGUUGGUCAUGUCCCAUCGUAGUGCCUCGUUAACGACCUUGUUGCGUUGGAAAUCGCUCAAUCGCUCAGUCAGAAGCCUUUCUACUUCUUCUUGAAUUUACCUUUGUUGGGGGUAACGGAGCUCUUGGCUGCCCCCCGUCGUGACUAACUGGUCUAGGUGAUGUGAAAAUUAUGUUGACACUCAAAUUAACCCUCUUUUUAUCAAUUGUAGCAAAGUAUGUAAGUAGUGAUCGUUCUAAACCGGGGAUUAGGAGGGAUUGCAAAUCACUUGAAAACAGACUCAAAUACGUAAAAACAAGUUUAAAACACUAAACUAAACUCAAAGAAUGCAAAACUAAACUUUAAAACAC
rnacentral:lncRNA from 1 species